AUUAUUAAUUUGUUUACUUACAUAAUUAAUAUGCAAUUCAAUUUAUAAAUAACGAAAAACGAGCGAAAAGCACAGCCGCGCUAUUAACUAGCGCAAAGAACAAAAGAUUUCAGCCAUAAAAUUAUAACGCCUCGGUUCCAAAAUAAUAUUUUCAAAUCAUUGAAAAUAAAUCGUUAAGCACAAACACCAACACAAUCAAGAUAAAAGAGUGGGAGGAAAUAUAAAUAUACCCUAUACAAGGUUUAACGAGUUGAAUAGCAGACGUGAGUUAAAUCAGCUGAAAAUUCAGUAGAAAGCCAUGAAGAUCAAUGCUCGAAAACAAGAAGCUAAGGCAACAGGCCACUUGGAUUGAUAUUUACCUCUCCAUGGGCCUAUGUUCCGAUUGCACUCAAAACUUUCAAAUGGGGUGGUAUAAAGCCACCUCUGGCGUCACCAGCUAGAUUAUUUUUACCAUGUCAAUAAUAAAAACUGCAGUAAAUCGGUA